GACGUAGGGGGCAAGCGUUGUUCGGAAUUAUUGGGCGUAAAGCGCUCGUAGGCGGGACUGGAAGUCCGGUGUUGAAAGACCUCGGCUCAACUGAGGGACCGGCUCGGAUACUCUAGUUCUUGAGGCAAUCAGAGGGUGAUGGAAUUCCCGGUGUAGCGGUGGAAAUGCGCAGGAUAAUCAGGAGGAACACCGGUGGCGAAGGCGG
rnacentral:rRNA from 1 species